CCUACGGGAGGCAGCAGUGAGGAAUAUUGGUCAAUGGCCGGAAGGCUGAACCAGCCAUGCCGCGUGAAGGUCAGUGCCCUAUGGGCGUUAAACUUCUUUUGUGCGGGAGCAAUAAUGGUCACGUGUGGCCAGACGAGAGUACCGUACGAAUAAGCAUCGGCUAACUCCGUGCCAGCAGCCGCGGUAAUACGGGGGAUGCAAGCGUUAUCCGGAUUUAUUGGGGGUAAAGGGUGCGGAGGCUGUGAGGUAAGUCAGCGGUGAAAUGCCCCCGCUCAACGGGGUGACGUGCCAUUGAUACUGCCUUGCUGGAAUGCGGAUGACGUAGGAGGAAUGUGUGGUGUAGCGGUGAAAUGCAUAGAUAUCACACAGAACACCGAUUGCGAAGGCAUCUCACGAAUCCGCGAUUGACGCUGAUGCACGAAAGCGUGGGUAUCAAACAGGAUUAGAUACCCGUGUAGUC
rnacentral:rRNA from 1 species